rnacentral:rRNA from 1 species
GAUGAACGCUGGCGGCGUGCCUAAUACAUGCAAGUCGAGCGAACGGACGAGAAGCUUGCUUCUCUGAUGUUAGCGGCGGACGGGUGAGUAACACGUGGAUAACCUACCUAUAAGACUGGGAUAACUUCGGGAAACCGGAGCUAAUACCGGAUAAUAUUUUGAACCGCAUGAUUCAAAAGUGAAAGACGGUCUUGCUGUCACUUAUAGAUGGAUCCGCGCUGCAUUAGCUAGUUGGUAAGGUAACGGCUUACCAAGGCAACGAUGCAUAGCCGACCUGAGAGGGUGAUCGGCCACACUGGAACUGAGACACGGUCCAGACUCCUACGGGAGGCAGCAGUAGGGAAUCGUCCGCAAUGGGCGAAAGCCUGACGGAGCAACGCCGCGUGAGUGAUGAAGGUCUUCGGAUCGUAAAACUCUGUUAUUAGGGAAGAACAUAUGUGUAAGUAACUGUGCACAUCUUGACGGUACCUAAUCAGAAAGCCACGGCUAACUACGU